GACGAACGCUGGCGGCAUGCCUAAUACAUACAAGUCGAACGGACGAGGAGGAGCUUGCUCCUCCAAGUUAGUGGCGGACGGGCGAGUAACGCGUGGGCAACCUGCCUCUCAGUGGGGAACAACAGUUGGAAACGACUGCUAAUACCGCAUAAUGUACCGAGAUCGCAUGGUUUUGGUACCAAAGGAUUUAUUCGCUGAGAGAUGGGCCCGCGUCCGAUUAGAUAGUUGGUGGGGUAACGGCCUACCAAGUCGACGAUCGGUAGCCGAACUGAGAGGUUGAUCGGCCGCAUUGGAACUGAGAUACGGUCCAG
rnacentral:rRNA from 1 species